CGUACACCAGUUCUUAUCUAGGUGACAUCAGAGAUGUGACGUCGCGAAUUAAGUGAUGGUGACGCAACAGAAGACCAACUUCAACAUAGUAUAUGACGUCACAGAGAAUCAAGAGGACAAAGGGAGAAUCGGGAAUGAAGAAAAGCAAGCGUAGCCUAUAUGCUGCAGAAGAAAAGCGCAAGACGAAGAACAAAGACGAAGACGACAAUAAGGAUGCCGGUUUGAGGUUUUGCUUAGGCUUAGGAGUUGUGUGUUGUUGAGGUGUGGUUUCUGGAGCACUCUUACAGUGUUGCCGGAUUUGUGUUUGUGCCUCAUUUAUGCUGGACCUAAUAUGGCCAGCCUUUUUGUCAGUCACUACUUUAGUGCAUUUCUCAUAUCAAUGAAAUAUUUGCGAUUAAACUAUGGCAAACAUCUUGAUGGAUCGGAUUUUGUUGUUGUACACGUCAUUGCGUAUUUCUUCUGUAAAGGUCGAAUCUUUCAACGAUUCUGCAUUGUCCCAAUCACUUUAUAAGAACGGCAUGUUGGUACACAAAAACUUGAGUAAUAUCCACGCGUAUUAUAUUAUACACGCAAAUAAACUUUAGAUUUGAUAUUCCUUAUUUUUCAAUAGUUAAUAAUAGCCCCCAUUAACCUGUUGCUGUUUUUACAAAAGCCUAAUUGUUACGCUGGCCACGUUACAAUCACGCUACGUCGAUGGGACAUCAAGCCCCAGCUUUCGGUGCGGUUAUGUCACGGUUCUAGACUGAGUUAUGUUACCGUUGGGUUGUUGCUCAGACGUCGCCGCCAGUGAUGCUACGCUAGUUUUAGGUCACUACUGGUACAGUGAUGCUACGCUCGGGUAUUUAGAUCACUAUUAGUGCGGUUCGUAACAACCUGACGUAGUUUCAUGGCGGUCGAAGCGGUGCUUAACAUCCGAACGAUUUUAUAUUGCGUGAAGAUACGACGAGAGUGUUGCGGUACCAAACAUGGCGACUUGUCAGGUGAUUAGGACAUGCGGAGACGUCAUUGGCUUCGACUCCUUGUCGUCGGACAUUUAGUAAUUUAUACACUGCAGCUGAUUAAUCCUUCAGGAUUUGAACCAUAUUUUCAUUGAAGAUGUUUCAUUGAUUGGGUCCACGUUAGUUAACUUAUCGUAACCGUCCAUUAUUUGGAUAUGAAUGAGCUGUUGUGUGUACUGCAUGCCUUUUCGCUCUUUUUUUGUAUUUGCACCUCGUAUUAUUUUUGUCCUUUUGUCGUUGUCGUGCACGCGUGUAUGUGCAUUCGCUGUAUCAUUUUUGUCUAUUGGGGUCGCUUUAACCUGCGUGGACAGUAACAUCCCGCAAGGGUUUCUCACCUAAGUAGAAACCCACUACCAUUGGCUGGGGGCUUGUCGUGCCGUAGUGG